UACGUAGGGUGCGAGCGUUGUCCGGAAUUAUUGGGCGUAAAGAGCUUGUAGGCGGUUUGUCGCGUCUGCUGUGAAAAUCCGAGGCUCAACCUCGGACUUGCAGUGGGUACGGGCAGACUAGAGUGUGGUAGGGGAGACUGGAAUUCCUGGUGUAGCGGUGAAAUGCGCAGAUAUCAGGAGGAACACCGAUGGCGAAGGCAGGUCUCUGGACCACUACUGACGCUGAGAAGCGAAAGCAUGGGGAGCGAACAGG
rnacentral:rRNA from 1 species